rnacentral:rRNA from 1 species
AUUGAACGCUGGCGGCAGGCUUAACACAUGCAAGUCGAGCGGGGGAAGGUAGCUUGCUACCGGACCUAGCGGCGGACGGGUGCGUAAUGCUUAGGAAUCUGCCUAUUAGUGGGGGACAACAUCUCGAAAGGGAUGCUAAUACCGCAUACGUCCUACGAGAGACAGCAGGGGAUCUGCGGACCUUGCGCUAAUAGAUGAGCCUUAGUCGGAUUAGCUAGUUGGUGGGGUAAAGGCCUACCAAGGCGACGAUCUGUAGCGGGUCUGAGAGGAUGAUCCGCCACACUGGGACUGAGACACGGCCCAGACUCCUACGGGAGGCAGCAGUGGGGAAUAUUGGACAAUGGGGGGAACCCUGAUCCAGCCAUGCCGCGUGUGUGAAGAAGGCCUUAUGGUUGUAAAGCACUUUAAGCGAGGAGGAGGCUACUCUAGUUAAUACCUAGGGAUAGUGGACGUUACUCGCAGAAUAAGCACCGGCUAACUACGUGCCAGCCGCCGCCGUAA